rnacentral:rRNA from 1 species
GAGAGUUUGAUUCUGGCUCAGGAUGAACGCUGGCGGCGUGCUUAACACAUGCAAGUCGAACGAGCGGAGAGCUUCGGCUCAAAGCGAGUGGCGGACGGGUGAGUAACGCGUGGGUAACCUGCCCUAUACAGGGGAAUAACAGUGAGAAAUCACUGCUAAUGCCGCAUAAGCGCACAGUGCCGCAUGGCACGGUGCGAAAAGCUCCGGCGGUAUAGGAUGGACCCGCGUCUGAUUAGGCAGUUGGCGGGGUAACGGCCCACCAAACCGACGAUCAGUAGCCGACCUGAGAGGGUGACCGGCCACAUUGGGACUGAGACACGGCCCAGACUCCUACGGGAGGCAGCAGUGGGGAAUAUUGCACAAUGGGGGAAACCCUGAUGCAGCAACGCCGCGUGAGUGAAGAAGUAUUUCGGUAUGUAAAGCUCUAUCAGCAGGGAAGAAGAAAGACGUACCUGA